rnacentral:rRNA from 1 species
GGAGCUGUAAGUAAGCUUUGAUCCAGAGAUUUCCGAAUGGGGAAACCCAGCAUGAGUUAUGUCAUGUUAUCGAUAUGUGAAUACAUAGCAUAUCAGAAGGCACACCCGGAGAACUGAAACAUCUUAGUACCCGGAGGAAGAGAAAGAAAAUUCGAUUCCCUUAGUAGCGGCGAGCGAAACGGGAAGAGCCCAAACCAACAAGCUUGCUUGUUGGGGUUGUAGGACACUCUAUACGGAGUUACAAAGGACGACAUUAGACGAAUCAUCUGGAAAGAUGAAUCAAAGAAGGUAAUAAUCCUGUAGUCGAAAAUGUUGUCUCUCUUGAGUGGAUCCUGAGUACGACGGAGCACGUGAAAUUCCGUCGGAAUCUGGGAGGACCAUCUCCUAAGGCUAAAUACUCUCUAGUGACCGAUAGUGAACCAGUACCGUGAGGGAAAGGUGAAAAGCACCCCGGAAGGGGAGUGAAAUAGAACCUGAAACCGUGUGCUUACAAGUAGUCAGAGCCCGUUAAUGGGUGAUGGCGUGCCUUUUGUAGAAUGAACCGGCGAGUUACGAUUUGAUGCAAGGUUAAGCAGUAAAUGUGGAGCCGUAGCGAAAGCGAGUCUGAAUAGGGCGUUUAGUAUUUGGUCGUAGACCCGAAACCAGGUGAUCUACCCUUGGUCAGGUUGAAGUUCAGGUAACACUGAAUGGAGGACCGAACCGACUUACGUUGAAAAGUGAGCGGAUGAACUGAGGGUAGCGGAGAAAUUCCAAUCGAACCUGGAGAUAGCUGGUUCUCUCCGAAAUAGCUUUAGGGCUAGCCUCAAGUGAUGAUUAUUGGAGGUAGAGCACUGUUUGGACGAGGGGCCCCUCUCGGGUUACCGAAUUCAGACAAACUCCGAAUGCCAAUUAAUUUAACUUGGGAGUCAGAACAUGGGUGAUAAGGUCCGUGUUCGAAAGGGAAACAGCCCAGACCACCAGCUAAGGUCCCAAAAUAUAUGUUAAGUGGAAAAGGAUGUGGCGUUGCCCAGACAACUAGGAUGUUGGCUUAGAAGCAGCCAUCAUUUAAAGAGUGCGUAAUAGCUCACUAGUCGAGUGACACUGCGCCGAAAAUGUACCGGGGCUAAACAUAUUACCGAAGCUGUGGAUUGUCCUUUGGACAAUGGUAGGAGAGCGUUCUAAGGGCGUUGAAGCAUGAUCGUAAGGACAUGUGGAGCGCUUAGAAGUGAGAAUGCCGGUGUGAGUAGCGAAAGACGGGUGAGAAUCCCGUCCACCGAUUGACUAAGGUUUCCAGAGGAAGGCUCGUCCGCUCUGGGUUAGUCGGGUCCUAAGCUGAGGCCGACAGGCGUAGGCGAUGGAUAACAGGUUGAUAUUCCUGUACCACCUAUAAUCGUUUUAAUCGAUGGGGGGACGCAGUAGGAUAGGCGAAGCGUGCGAUUGGAUUGCACGUCUAAGCAGUAAGGCUGAGUAUUAGGCAAAUCCGGUACUCGUUAAGGCUGAGC